GGAAAAUAUGGAUACAAGUAUCUAUUAAUUUUUGUAGACACCUUUUCAGGAUGGGUUGAAGCCUUCCCUACUAAACAUGAAACAGCCAAGAUCGUUACUAAGAAAUUGCUUGAAGAAAUCUUUCCCCGUUAUGGGAUGCCUCAGCUCAUUUACAGGCCCUCCAACUAGUACAACGGGAGGUCUGGAAACCCCUUGCUCAAGCUUAUAAAGACCAGAGGGACCAUCCUGCCGUUCCCCAUUCCUACCAGAUCGGGGACACAGUCUGGGUCCGGCAUCACCAGACAAAGAAACUCGAACCCCGCUGGAAGGGACCCUACAUCGUUUUGCUUACCACCCACACCGCACUCAAAGUAGACGGCAUUGCAGCUUGGAUACAUGCCACAGGGAAACACAUAGAUGACAUCACAGAGACACAGAG
rnacentral:lncRNA from 1 species